rnacentral:tRNA from 1 species
GGAGGGAUGGCCGAGCGGCUUAAGGCGCACGCUUGGAAAGCGUGUAUACGGGCAACCGUAUCGAGGGUUCGAAUCCCUCUCCCUCCGCCA